UGUGGAUUUUUGCAUGUACCGUAUGAAUAAGGAUCGGCUAACUCCGUGCCAGCAGCCGCGGUAAUACGGAGGAUCCGAGCGUUAUCCGGAUUUAUUGGGUUUAAAGGGAGCGUAGNUGGGCUGUUAAGUCAGUUGUGAAAGUUUGCGGCUCAACCGUAAAAUUGCANUUGAUACUGGCNGUCUUGAGUACAGUUGAGGUAGGCGGAAUUCGUGGUGUAGCGGUGAAAUGCUUAGAUAUCACGAANAACUCCGAUNGCGAAGGCAGCUUACUCACCUGNAACNGACAUUGAUGCUNGAAAGUGUGGGUAUCAAACAGGAUUAGAUACCCUGGUAGUCCACACAGUAAACGAUGAAUACUCGNUGUAGGCG
rnacentral:rRNA from 1 species